rnacentral:rRNA from 1 species
CCUACGGGAGGCAGCAGUGAGGAAUAUUGGUCAAUGGACGAGAGCCUGAACCAGCCAAGUCGCGUGAAGGAUGACUGCCCUAUGGGUUGUAAACUUCUUUUAUAUGGGAAUAAAAUGUUCCACGUGUGGGAUUUUGUAUGUACCCUAUGAAUAAGCAUCGGCUAACUCCGUGCCAGCAGCCGCGGUAAUACGGAGGAUCCGAGCGUUAUCCGGAUUUAUUGGGUUUAAAGGGUGCGUAGGGGGAUUGUUAAGUCAGUUGGUAAAGUUGGCGGCUCAACCGUAAAAGUGCAGUUGAAACUGGGAGCCUUGAGUAGAGGAGAGGUAGGCGGAAUGCGUGGUGUAGCGGUGAAAUGCUUAGAUAUCACGAAGAACUCCGAUUGCGAAGGCAGCUCACUGGACUGCAACUGACACUGAGGCUCGAAAGUGUGGGUAUCAAACAGGAUUAGAUACCCCGGUAGUC